AAGGGUCAGGGUCCUGAAGCAGCCGGACAUCCUGAAAGUCUGAUUCCCAUCUUGAGAGCCUCUUCCGAAAGGCCAUAUGUGGCCUGGCACAGAGGGCACAGGACAGGAAGCUGCUGAGCACUGCUCCCUUUGCCUCUGAGGAGAGAUCAUCUUGCAGACAGUGCUUGCUGACAUCACCAUGCCAAGCUGGAUCCCUCUCCCUGCGUUCUGCUGCCUCCUUCUCCCCUGGGCCUUCACCGUCUUUCACAAAACCCUGGGGAACCCCGGUAAGACCCCAGCCCAGCCCCCAACCAGGACACUGGGGUAGGGGAUCAAGGGAUGGAGGAAUAAAAAGGGCAGCUGUUGAAAGUACCUAGGAAGUGAGCAUCAGUGGGGAGAGGUAAGAAUGAGCCCGAGGAAAGUCUCUGGGGACUAGGUCUGAGUGGGCACUUGGG
rnacentral:lncRNA from 1 species